rnacentral:rRNA from 1 species
GACGAACGCUGGCGGCGUGCUUAACACAUGCAAGUCGAGCGGAGCGGCGAACGGGCGAGUAACGCGUGAGUAACUGCCCCCCUCUCUCGGAUAACAGUUGGAAACGGCUGCUAAUACCUGAUAGUGGGGGAUGGCUCGCGUCCUAUCAGCUUGUUGGUGGGGUAGUGGCCUACCAAGGCGACGACGGGUAGCCGGCCUGAGAGGGGGAACGGCCACAUUGGGCUGAGACACGGCCCAGACUCCUACGGGAGGCAGCAGUGGGGAAUAUUGCACAAUGGGGGGAACCCUGAUGCAGCAACGCCGCGUGGGGGAUGACGGCCUUCGGGUUGUAAACCGCUUUCAGCCAUGACGCGGUAGUGGCAGAAGAAGCACCGGCUAACUACGUGCCAGCAGCCGCGGUAAUAC